UACAGAGGUCUCGAGCGUUAGGCGGAAUCACUGGGCUUAAAGCGUGUGUAGGUGGAUGCCUAAGUACCUUGUGAAAUCCCACGGCUUAACCGUGGAACUGCUUGGUAUACUGGGUGUCUUGAGUCACUCAGGGGCGAGCGGAACAAAUGGUGGAGCGGUGAAAUGCGUAGAGAUCGGGAAGAACGCCAAGGGCGAAGGCACUCUGCUAGGCCUGAUUUCGCGACUGACACUCAGGGACGAGAGCCAGGGGAGCGAAUGGG
rnacentral:rRNA from 1 species